CUUUGCUUUUGGUCAACUAAACAACAAAUACGAGGCGGCACUCAAACUACCGGCUACAGCUACAACAGCAAUAUGAGGCAACAUGUUAGCCAUCAUCGUUAUAACGGUCGACAAGACACACGGCAUUUGCCUGGGCCAACAAUAAGGUACGUUUUUGCUAUGGCCCCAACUGCAGAGGUGACAGCGUGAGUCACGUGGGUCAAACAUAAAUCAUAUUGAAUACGAUUCCUUAAUUAGGAAUUCCAUCCCAAAUUAGCAUCUUCAAGCUAACUAUUUGCAGCUGAGUUUCGAUCUCCCACAACUGCUUAAUGUUCCAUCUCCAAGCGAACGAUUCCGCACCUGACAGGGACACAUCUCUGACUGGGUUAUGGUGUCAGUGUCCUGCAGUCAGCUUUGCUGCUGUCAGCCAUUUUGGCAUUUGGUUGUAGCUUCUUGUUGUUGUUGUUGUUGCUGUUGUUGUUGUUUCCCCUACCCGGUGCCAUUGCUGUUGCCUUUGCUGCUUGUUGCCUCAUUAUGAUUGUCAAAGUGACGGACUGGUCAUGCAAAGGUAAACACAAAAUGUGUAAAUACAAUGAAACCCCGGACAGAUACACCCGGACAUGCGAGUAUUUGGCUUGCACGAGCCUGUAUGCGAGGAUACUGCGAGAACAAUGUUGCUCGGACUCACAUGCUGACUCUCAGUGUUGGUAUUGUAAUUAUCUUUGCGACACUAUUUGCUGUUGGCUUAAGUGUUCCGUAUGGCCAGCCAAGCAAAUCAAUAAGCCCGCCCGGAUCCCACUCGCAGUCGAAAACCCCCGGAUAGGCGUACUGUUCCCAGUCCCUUUCGCUAUCAUUGCAUGCUUGAUGGCUUUAAGGCGGGGAAAUUGGUUUCUUAUGCGCCUUUAAGUAGCCAAAACGCUUCAUUUUUAUGUCAUUUUGCUGUCAUUGCUCAGGAGUCUUACCUCCAGUUUCCUGUCCCCCUUCCCUUCCCUUCUCUUCCGUCCUUCCUUCCGUCCGUUCGUCCAUUCAUUAUUUGCACUUUUUUUGUUCGUUUUUUGGAUUGUUUUUGUUUGAGCUUCUUUCCGCUCAUGAAUUUUUUAUUACAUUUUCCCACCUACUCCCUUUUGUUCUGGCCCGCCUUUUGGCACCUUCGAGUCCUCCUGCCUUUUGUUGUUUCAUUUUUAAAUUAUUAAAUUUUAUUGGCGUAUCACUUUUUAUGAGCGACCGCCACCAGAAACAUUAUAUUUCGAUUAGCACCUGUUUGCUACCCUCCUACACAGUCCCCAGUCCAUCCACCCAUCCACCUACCCAUCUAUCCAUGCAGCCAACCAGCCAACCAGCCAACCCACCUGGAAGCGGUCUUUUCUUUUCGUUGGCUUUGUUUCAAUUGCAGUCAAUUCUCAGGUUGUUACACCUGGCUAAUCAUAGGGUGUAAAGGUGUAUGUGUUAUGUCCUUGAGAGCCAAGAGGGAUCCUCUUCACUGAUCGAGCCAUAAACAAGUUACAGAAUACACAUAGAGUAGCGUUACUUUUGUAGCUAGUCUGCACUAAUUAAGUGACAAUUAUCUUGGUGUACCCAACUGUCGCUCUGUCUCUUAACACUUUGUUGUAUCAAAUAUAUUCUACAGGAACAGGUAUCACCAUAGUCGACACCGCUCCCUACACCACUUUCACUUUCACUUGUUAUUUGUUGUUGGUUAAAACAACAGGUGUGACCUCCUAAAUAUCUUUUUACCCACCCACUCAUACCAAAUUCUAUUUCUCAUUUAUUUUUAUAUUGUGUGGUAAUUUGUGUCCUCGUCUUCAUCUGAUUUCCAGUAAAUUAAAUGCGAUUUGUAUGUGGCAUCGAAAUCAACGAAGCGAGCGGCGCGUGUUCCCUGCCAGACGCUAAGACCAGCACAAGGUGAACCGCAGAACACACGCGGGACACCAGCUGGGAAAAUCGAUUAAGUUGGGAUGCUGUAACACAGCUGCUGAUUCUAUUAUUAGGCAUAGUCUUUAAGUAGGGUUCAACGUGCUUGGUGCUCACACAUUUGACAUGCUGCAUCUAUGAAUCACAUUUGGAAUAUUAAAAUAGAUUUAAUCAAAUCAAUGCUAAUAAACUCCACCCACAAAGGGUAAAUUGGCUUUAAAUUCAAUUAAUAGGCAACCAGUUUACCUACCACCAGUCGAGUCACAUCUUAAUUCAAUAUUCAUUAAGGAAAAACUUAUCCGAAGGUUUCCACAGACUUCUCCUCUUCGAGUGCGAGUAAACAAAAUGUAAUUGAAUUUUUCUGCUUCCCAUAGCAGAGUUCCCCAUAGCCGAUUACCACUGUUUAAAGAGCGCCUUCUGUUUCGCUGGGUGGCCCGCUCAAUGAGGAAAAAAAAGUUUUCUUUGACUCGUCCGAUGCGGCGGAUGCCUGUCGCUCGAUGCCGAUGCAAUUGUCAUCCUUGUUGGCCGUUGUUUUCUUCAGGGCUUUUCCCAUGGGUAGAACUGAUGCUCGGCCCACCGCUCCACGUUGUCCAGUGCAACUCAAUGCCAACUAAUUAAUGUGCCCAGUUAAUGGGCAAUACGGAAACCCAGAAAUCUCCACCACUCCACUCUCUGGCCUCGCCGCCUCAAUUGGCUGGGCUGGCGCUGCCUGGCUGACUGGCUGACUCUCUGCCUUGCUGGUGGCGUGUGUGGGCUGUCAAGAAUGUUUCGUGCUCGGUCAGUUAAUAAACUGUCAACGUGGUGGUGUCGAUGGCAUUUAUAUUCAAACACAGACACACAUAUAUACAUGCAGACACACAUUGAAUACUAUAUAUGGAGAUGUGUUCGCUUGUGGUCGAAAGGCGUUGAAUGCAUCGUUGAAAUUGAUUUUGGUGUGCCGUCAAUGAGCCUGACAGGCGGUUCAGGAGCUCCCAGCUCCAUUCCUACGGCACAACUCUGUCAUCCGUCCUGAAUCCCGAUUGUCAGCAAUCCUCGCAUCGCCUCAUGCGUAUUUUAAUUGAAUAAACAUUCGCAUGUCGCAUUUCGCAACGACUCCAAAAGAAGAAAAAACAAGAAAACGGUCACUGGCCUCGAUGGCCACAGCCUCACAUACCCUUGCUGUUGGCUCAUUUGUAGAGAAGCUUGUACCAUAAACUGAUAAUUGCUGUUCAUAAUCAUAGAUUUUUCUUUCAGCUGAUCGCCUCGAUCGCUUUAUUAUUCUUUUUGGCGUUGCAAACAUCUUGUCAAAAUCGGAAUACCUCUGGUAUGAAAGUUGUGUACAAAUUAAAUAUCCUCCAUGACUCGACUCUUGCUGCCGUCUCUGCCGUUGCAAUCGAGCCGAAGACAAACAACAGUCAAUGCCAAUUAAAUGGGAAUUUUAAUUAGCGUAAGUUGCGUGCCAUGACGUCACUUCGUUUGUGGAAGGCCCCUUCCUUGCUGGCAGGACCUGGCAGGGGUAGGUUCAGGUGCAGGUGCAGGUGCAGGUGCAAUUCAAUGAAAAAUAAUAAUAAUACGUAUCAAUAAAAUUCGCUAUGCAAAGUGACUGUGUACAAAGGAGGAACGUGAUUCAGCUCAAGGCUUAAAGAUAAACAUAAAAGAGGAGCGGAAACACACAAAAGACGGAUGUGCAUCAGUCGGGAAAUGGAAAACAACACUGGAAAAUGAUUAUUGCAUCAACUUUUAUAGAAGUAAAGAGUAAUCUUAAGUUUCCACUGCAUGGAAAGGGGGGAAAUGCACCGCCUAAUGGAAUAUUUGUAAAUUAUUUGUUUAACAACUGUCUCUGGAGAUACUUUUGCUUUGUGAUAUUUGCUUAAAUAAUCCAAAGCAAGACCAUCUACAUUUUGUUUUAAAUAUUGUUCCUCUUAUAAAUAUAUGUGCCACUCUACGUUGGGGGGAUUUGGGGC
rnacentral:lncRNA from 1 species